UACGUAGGCAGCAAGCGUUGUUCGGAGUUACUGGGCGUAAAGGGUGUGUAGGCGGUUUUCUAAGUUUGGUGUGAAAUCUCCCGGCUUAACUGGGAGGGUGCGCCGAGAACUGGAAGGCUAGAGUAUGGAAUGGGAGAGUGGAAUUCCUGGUGUAGCGGUGAAAUGCGUAGAUAUCAGGAGGAACACCUGUGGUGAAGACGGCUCUCUGGACCAUCACUGACGCUGAAACACGAAAGCGUGGGUAGCAAACAGGAUUAGAUACCCUGGUAGUCCACGCCCUAAACGAUGCAUACUUGGUGUGGGUCAUUCAGUUGAUCCGUGCCGGAGCUAACGCGUUAAGUAUGCCGCCUGGGGAGUACGGUCGCAAGGCUG
rnacentral:rRNA from 1 species